CAACCCAUGUGACGUUACCAAACUGUUGCCUCGGCGGGAUCUUCUGCCAGNGNNGANCNCAGCCCCGGACCAAGGCGCCCGCCGGAGGAAUCAANCAAAACUCUUAUUGUAUACCCCCUCGCGGGUUUUUUUUAUAAUCUGAGCCUUCUCGGCGCCUCUCGUAGGCGUUUCGAAAAUGAAUCAAAACUUUCAACAACGGAUCUCUUGGUUCUGGCAUCGAUGAAGAACGCAGCGAAAUGCGAUAAGUAAUGUGAAUUGCAGAAUUCAGUGAAUCAUCGAAUCUUUGAACGCACAUUGCGCCCGCCAGUAUUCUGGCGGGCAUGCCUGUCCGAGCGUCAUUUCAACCCUCGAACCCCUCCGGGGGGUCGGCGUUGGGGAUCGGCCUUCCUUCACGGGGGCCGUCUCCGAAAUACAGUGGCGGUCUCGCCGCAGCCUCUCCUGCGCAGUAGUUUGCACACUCGCAUCGGGAGCGCGGCGCGUCCACAGCCGUUAAACACCCAACUUUCUGAAAUGUUGACCUCGGAUCAGGGUAGGAAUACCCGCUGAACUUAAGCAUAUCAAUA
rnacentral:rRNA from 1 species